rnacentral:rRNA from 1 species
CGCGGCCUAUCAGCUUGUUGGUGGGGUGAUGGCCUACCAAGGCGACGACGGGUAGCCGGCCUGAGAGGGCGACCGGCCACACUGGGACUGAGACACGGCCCAGACUCCUACGGGAGGCAGCAGUGGGGAAUAUUGCGCAAUGGGCGGAAGCCUGACGCAGCGACGCCGCGUGAGGGAUGAAUGCCUUCGGGUUGUAAACCUCUUUCAGCAGGGACGAAGCGAGAGUGACGGUACCUGCAGAAGAAGCACCGGCCAACUACGUGCCAGCAGCCGCGGUAAUACGUAGGGUGCAAGCGUUGUCCGGAAUUAUUGGGCGUAAAGAGCUCGUAGGCGGUCUGUCGCGUCGGCUGUGAAAACUCGGGGCUCAACCCCGAGCCUGCAGUCGAUACGGGCAGACUAGAGUGCUGUAGGGGAGACUGGAAUUCCUGGUGUAGCGGUGAAAUGCGCAGAUAUCAGGAGGAACACCGGUGGCGAAGGCGGGUCUCUGGGCAGUAACUGACGCUGAGGAGCGAAAGCGUGGGGAGCGAACAGGAUUAGAUACCCUGGUAGUCCACGCCGUAAACGGUGGGUGCUAGGUGUGAGCGGUAUUCCACGCCGUUCGUGCCGCAGCUAACGCAUUAAGCACCCCGCCUGGGGAGUACGG